rnacentral:rRNA from 1 species
CCUACGGGCGGCAGCAGUGGGGAAUAUUGGACAAUGGGCGAAAGCCUGAUCCAGCCAUGCCGCGUGUGUGAAGAAGGCCUUCGGGUUGUAAAGCACUUUCAGUGGGGAAGAAAGCCUUGGGGCUAAUACCCUCGAGGAAGGACAUCACCCACAGAAGAAGCACCGGCUAACUCCGUGCCAGCAGCCGCGGUAAUACGGAGGGUGCGAGCGUUAAUCGGAAUUACUGGGCGUAAAGCGCGCGUAGGCGGUCUGAUAAGCCGGUUGUGAAAGCCCCGGGCUCAACCUGGGAACGGCAUCCGGAACUGUCAGGCUAGAGUGCAGGAGAGGAAGGUAGAAUUCCCGGUGUAGUGGUGAAAUGCGUAGAGAUCGGGAGGAAUACCAGUGGCGAAGGCGGCCUUCUGGACUGACACUGACGCUGAGGUGCGAAAGCGUGGGUAGCAAACAGGAUUAGAUACCCUGGUAGUC